AUUGAACGCUGGCGGCAGGCUUAACACAUGCAAGUCGAGCGGGGAGAUGUAGCUUGCUACAUUUCCUAGCGGCGGACGGGUGAGUAAUGCUUAGGAAUCUGCCUAUUAGUGGGGGACAACGUUUCGAAAGGAACGCUAAUACCGCAUACGCCCUACGGGGGAAAGCAGGGGAUCUUCGGACCUUGCGCUAAUAGAUGAGCGUAAGCCAGAUUAGCUGGUUGGUGGGGUAAAGGCCCACCAAGGCGACGAUCUGUAGCGGGUCUGAGAGGAUGAUCCGCCACACUGGGACUGAGACAUGGCCCAGACUCCUACGGGAGGAAGCAGUGGGGAAUAUUGGACAAUGGGGGGAACCCUGAUCCAGCUAUGCCGCGUGUGUGAAGAAGGCCUUUUGGUUGUAAAGCACUUUAAGCGGGGAGGAGGCUACUAGUACUAAUAUUACUGGAUAGUGGACGUUACCCGCAGAAUAAGCACCGGCUAACUCUGUGCCAGCAGCCGCAGUAACAC
rnacentral:rRNA from 1 species